GGAAAUAAGCCAUUCAGGGCUCAUCCGGAAUCCAGGAAGUGUUUGGAUAUUGGAAAAACAAAAACAAAAAAAAACCUUUGUUCUGUAAGACAGUAUAGAAAGUUGGGAGAAAGGUCUACUCCAGGAUCAAGGCCUCCUGAAAGGGUCUCGAGGACCCCAAUGGUUCCUGGACCACACUUUGAAAACUAUGGAUCUGAAAAUAAUUUAGGAUUGCAUUUUCCUGUAAUGCCGCGUCUUAGCAAUGUGACCUUGGGGUGCCAGGAACAACAGGGAGGAAGAGGCCAAGGUUUCAGAGCCUCAGGAAUGAGGAACAGCAGGAGGUGAGGGGGUCAGUGAGGAAUGGGAUGGGCUGGGCGUGGCCAAAUCAGGUAAGGCUUUGUAGGCCUAUGUAAUUGAGGAUAUAAGGAAAUGUUUAACUGGACCAACAGGACCCAAGGGAGAGUAUCAAAGGCAAAACAAAGGAAAAUGAGGACAACCCAAUACUCAGAAAAAAAAACGAGUAAUUCAUGGAUUCACAACGGGCAACAAACUAGAUGACUAUUAGGAAGAGAAGAGCAAACCUUAUGAUCUCAAAAUGAUUUCUUGUUCAUUUGCAUCCUCGCAUCAAUCUAGACUUUAAGAAAUAUGUGAUUUUUAAAUAAAUGGGUAUAUCUGCAU
rnacentral:lncRNA from 1 species